rnacentral:rRNA from 1 species
GUGCCAGCCGCCGCGGUAACACGGGGGUUGCGAGCGUUGUCCGGAAUUACUGGGCGUAAAGCGUGCGCAGGCGGUGAUGUAAGACAGUUGUGAAAUCCCCGGGCUCAACCUGGGAACUGCAUCUGUGACUGCAUCGCUGGAGUGCGGCAGAGGGGGAUGGAAUUCCGCGUGUAGCAGUGAAAUGCGUAGAUAUGCGGAGGAACACCAAUGGCGAAGGCAAUCCCCUGGGCCUGCACUGACGCUCAUGCACGAAAGCGUGGGGAGCAAACAGGAUUAGAUACCCUGGUAGUCCACGCCCUAAACGAUGUCAACUGGUUGUUGGGUCUUCACUGACUCAGUAACGAAGCUAACGCGUGAAGUUGACCGCCUGGGGAGUACGGCCGCAAGGUUGAAACUUAAAGAAAUUGACGG